AAAACUUUCAACAACGGAUCUCUUGGUUCCCGCAUCGAUGAAGAACGCAGCGAAAUGCGAAAAGUAAUGUGAAUUGCAGAAUUCCGUGAAUCAUCGAAUCUUUGAACGCACAUUGCGCCCUUUGGUAUUCCGAAGGGCAUGCCUGUCCGAGCGUCAUUG
rnacentral:rRNA from 2 species